rnacentral:lncRNA from 1 species
GCCUCCCGCGACGGGGCGGUUCUGCAAGACCAGCUCUCCUCGCAGAGGCUCUGAGACAGCCUCUUAAUUAUGGCUUCUAGGCGCACUCUCUUCGCACGCAGUUCAGUAUUUGCUGCUUCGCUUCUCUUGUUCCCUCAGGUGGACUGCAAGGACGUCGAGGGUACAGGCUGGGUUCAGCCUUCUUCAAGAAAAGGCAGAUUGGCUCCAGUGACCUGUCACGUGGGAGCAGCAGGGGAUUACACAGGUGCUGUAAGGAGCCAGCAAGAUGGAGUGCGAAGUACUUGAACAAGCAGCCAGAAGCCUUGGGUAUGAGUCUGAGUCCCUCACCCUGCAGGUAACUGAUUAGGGGGGAAAGCAUGUAAUGUUCCUGAGCCU